GAUUAACGCUGGCGGCGUGCAUACACAUUCAAGUCGAACGAAGCACCUGAAACGGAGACUUCGGUCAAAGAAGCUUGCUUCUUUCAAGUUAGUGGCGGACGGGUGAGUAACACGUGAGCAACCUGCCUCUGAGAGGGGGAUAGCUUCUGGAAACGGAUGGGUAAUACCCCAUAAUGUAGUGAAACCGCAUGAUUUUACUACCAAAUGAAUUUCGCUCAGAGAUGGGCUCGCGUCUGAUUAGCUAGAUGGUGAGGUAACGGCUCACCAAGGCGACGAUCAGUAGCCGGUCUGAGAGGAUGAACGGCCACAUUGGGACUGAGAUACGGCCCAGACUCCUACGGGAGGCAGCAGUGGGGAAUAUUGGGCAAUGGGGGAAACCCUGACCCAGCAACGCCGCGUGAAGGAAGAAGGCCUUCGGGUUGUAAACUUCUUUUAGUAGGGACGAAUACAUGACGGUACCUACAGAAAAAGCAACGGCUAACUACGUG
rnacentral:rRNA from 1 species